UAGGGAAUCUUCGGCAAUGGGGGGAACCCUGACCGAGCAACGCCGCGUGAGUGAAGAAGGUUUUCGGAUCGUAAAGCUCUGUCGUUAAGGAAGAACGAGUGUGAGAAUGGAAAGUUCAUGCUGUGACGGUACUUAACCAGAAAGGGACGGCUAACUACGUGCCAGCAGCCGCGGUAAUACGUAGGUGGCAAGCGCUGUCCGGAUUUAUUGGGCGUAAAGCGAGCGCAGGCGGUCAAUUAAGUCUGAUGUGAAAGGCAGUGGCUCAACCAUUGUAGGCUUUGGAAACUGUUUCACUUGCGUGCAGGAGGGGAGAGUGGACUUCCAUGUGUAGCGGUGCACUGCGUAGAUCUAUGGAGGAACGCCGGUGGCGAAAGCGGCUCUCUGAUCUGUAACUGUCGCUGAGGCUCGAAAGCGUGGGGAGCGAACAGG
rnacentral:rRNA from 1 species